CUGCCCAGUGACAUCCUCACCCCACCCCACCCAUGUAUUUUAUCCUGCCCAGUGACCUCCUCACCCCACACCACCCAUGUCUUUUUUCCUGCCCAGUGACCUCCUCACCCCACACCACCCAUGUCUUUUAUCCUGCCCAGUGACCUCCUCAUACCACCCAUGUCUUUUAUCCUGCCCAGUGACCUCCUCACCCCACCACCACCCAUGUCUUUUAUCCUGCCCAGUGACCUCCUCACACCACACCACCCAUGUCUUUUAUCCUGCCCAGUGGCCUCCUCACACCACCCAUGUCUUUUAUCCUGCCCAGUGACCUCCUCACACCACACCACCCAUGUCUUUUAUCCUGCCCAGUGCCCUCCUCACNNNNNNNNNNUUGUGAUUAUCAUGUGCACCUCUCUGUGA
rnacentral:lncRNA from 13 species